rnacentral:rRNA from 1 species
UACGUAGGGUGCGAGCGUUAAUCGGAAUUACUGGGCGUAAAGCGUGCGCAGGCGGUUCGUUAAGUUCGAUGUGAAAGCCCCGGGCUCAACCUGGGAACUGCAUUGGAAACUGGCGAUCUAGAGUGCGGUAGAGGGUAGUGGAAUUCCCGGUGUAGCAGUGAAAUGCGUAGAGAUCGGGAGGAACAUCUGUGGCGAAGGCGACUGCCUGGACCAGCACUGACACUGAGGCACGAAAGCGUGGGGAGCAAACAGG